rnacentral:rRNA from 1 species
GACGACGGCUGGCGGCGUGCCUAACACAUGCAAGUCGAGCGGGGUUGAAGCGAGGGGUAACUCGAGUUCUACCUAGCGGCGGACGGGUGAGUAACGCGUGGGCAACCUGCCUCAAGGACUGGGAUAACAGCUCGAAAGGGCUGCUAAUACCGGAUAAGCCUAUGGCCUCGCAUGGGGCCAUGAGCAAAGGGGAAACCCGCCUUGAGAUGGGCCCGCGUCCCAUCAGCUAGUUGGUGAGGUGAAGGCUCACCAAGGCGACGACGGGUAGCCGGCCUGAGAGGGUGACCGGCCACACUGGGACUGAGACACGGCCCAGACUCCUACGGGGGGCAGCAGUGGGGAAUCUUGCACAAUGGGCGAAAGCCUGAUGCAGCGACGCCGCGUGAGCGAAGAAGGCCUUCGGGUUGUAAAGCUCUGUCUGGAGGGACGAAGGAAGUGACGGUACCUCCGGAGGAAGCCACGGCUAACUACGUG